rnacentral:tRNA from 1 species
GGGGCUGUAGUGUAGCUUGGUCUAUCAUCUGUGGUUUGGGACCAUAGGACUCCAGUUCGAAUCUGGACAGCCCCA